UUACCGCAAACCGACACUGGUGCGCGAGAUGAGUAUUCUCAGGCGCUUGAGAGAACUCGGGAGAAGGAACUCGGCAAAUUGACACCGUAACUUCGGAAGAAGGUGUGCCUUUAGUAGGUGAACCUGUACAAGGGGAGCCCAAUGAGGUUGCAAAAAAUCGGUGGCUGCGACUGUUUAAUAAAAACACAGCACUCUGCAAACACGAAAGUGGACGUAUAGGGUGUGACGCCUGCCCGGUGCUGGAAGAUUAAGUGAUGGGGUGCAAGCUCUUGAUCGAAGUCCCAGUAAACGGCGGCCGUAACAAUAACGGUCCUAAGGUAGCGAAAUUCCUUGUCGGGUAAGUUCCGACCUGCACGAAUGGCGUAACGAUGGCCACACUGUCUCCUCCCGAGACUCAGCGAAGUUGAAGUGUUUGUGAUGAUGCAAUCUCCCCGCGGAAAGACGGAAAGACCCCAUGAACCUUUACUGUAGCUUUGUAUUGGACUUUGAACGGAUCUGUGUAGGAUAGGUGGGAGGCUUUGAAGCAGGGUCGCUAGAUCUUGUGGAGCCAACGUUGAAAUACCACCCUGGUGCGUUUGAGGUUCUAACCUAGGCCCGUUAUCCGGGCCGGGGACAGUGCAUGGUAGGCAGUUUGACUGGGGCGGUCUCCUCCCAAAGCGUAACGGAGGAGUUCGAAGGUACGCUAGUUACGGUCGGACAUCGUGACGAUAGUGCAAUGGCAUAAGCGUGCUUAACUGCGAGACUGACAAGUCGAGCAGAUGCGAAAGCAGGACAUAGUGAUCCGGUGGUUCUGUAUGGAAGGGCCAUCGCUCAACGGAUAAAAGGUACUCUGGGGAUAACAGGCUGAUACCGCCCAAGAGUUCAUAUCGACGGCGGUGUUUGGCACCUCGAUGUCGGCUCAUCUCAUCCUGGGGCUGUAGCCGGUCCCAAGGGUAUGGCUGUUCGCCAUUUAAAGAGGUACGUGAGCUGGGUUUAAAACGUCGUGAGACAGUUUGGUCCCUAUCUUCCGUGGGCGCUGCAGAUUUGAGGAAGCCUGCUCCUAGUACGAGAGGACCGGAGUGGACGCACCUCUGGUGUACCUGUUGUCACGCCAGUGGCAUUGCAGGGUAGCUAAGUGCGGAAGAGAUAACCGCUGAAAGCAUCUAAGCGGGAAACUCGUUUCAAGAUGAGAUCUGCCGGGGCCUUGAGCCCCCUGAAGAGUCGUUCUAGACCAGGACGUUGAUAGGUCAGGUGUGGAAGCGCAGUAAUGCGUUAAGCUAACUGAUACUAAUUGCUCGUGCGGCUUGACCA
rnacentral:rRNA from 1 species